UGCAAAGACUAGGAGACAGCUCAUGCAUAUGGGCAGCUACCUGAAGGAAGCCCCAAAGGAAUCACUGACGAUAGGGCUACUCUUUACAUUAAUGGAACUCCUCAGUGACAAAACUGAUACUCCACUUAGGCAAAGAGUGCCAAGAAGCUGCAAAUGUUUCAACGCUCCCCGUAUCAUUUGCAUCCCAGAGGUUAAAGAAGAUUAGAAGGGGG